rnacentral:rRNA from 1 species
GCAAUCUAUACUGUGAAACUGCGAAUGGCUCAUUAAAUCAGUUAUCGUUUAUUUGAUAGUACCUUACUACUUGGAUACCUGUGGUAAUUCUAGAGCUAAUACAUGCUACAAACCUCGACUUCGGAAGAGGUGUAUUUAUUAGAUAAAAAACCAAUGCCCUUCGGGGCUCAAUGGUGAUUCAUGAUAACUUAACGAAUCGCAUGGCCUUGCGCCGGCGAUGGUUCAUUCAAAUUUCUGCCCUAUCAACUUUCGAUGGUAGGAUAGUGGCCUACCAUGGUGGCAACGGGUAACGGGGAAUAAGGGUUCGAUUCCGGAGAGGGAGCCUGAGAAACGGCUACCACAUCCAAGGAAGGCAGCAGGCGCGCAAAUUACCCAAUCCCAAUACGGGGAGGUAGUGACAAUAAAUACUGAUACAGGGCUCUUUUGGGUCUUGUAAUUGGAAUGAGUACAAUCUAAAUCCCUUAACGAGGAACAAUUGGAGGGCAAGUCUGGUGCCAGCAGCGUGAGUCAAUCGAAUAUCAAAUAUCAAGUGCCACCACUAACGUCUACAGCGCGGUAAUUCCAGCUCCAAUAGCGUAUAUUAAAGUUGUUGCAGUUAAAAAGCUCGUAGUUGAACCUUGGGUCUGGCUGGCCGGUCCGCCUCACCGCGUGUACUGGUCCGGCCGGGCCUUUCCUCCCGGGGAACCGCAUGCCCUUCACUGGGCGUGUCGAGGAACCGGGACUUUUACUUUGAAAAAAUUAGAGUGUUCAAAGCAGGCCUUCGCUCGGAUACAUUAGCAUGGAAUAAUAGAAUAGGACGG